UGAGGAAUAUUGGGCAAUGGGCGAAAGCCUGACCCAGCAACGCCGCGUGGAGGAUGAAUGCCGUAAGGUUGUAAACUCCUUUUGGAGGGGACGAAAAAGUAGGUUCAUAGCCUAUAUUGACUGUACCCUCAGAAAAAGCCCCGGCUAACUACGUGCCAGCAGCCGCGGUAAUACGUAGGGGGCGAAGCGUUGUCCGGAUUUACUUGGGUGGUAAAGGGCGCGUAGGCGGUUGUGCAAGUCCAGGGUUGAAGACCUGGGCUCAACCGAGGGAAGGCCUUGGAGACUGCACGACUUGAGUAAGCGAGGGGAGGGCGGAAUUCCCGGUGUAGCGGUGAAUGCGUAGAUAUCGGGAGGAAGGCCUGUGGCGAAGGCGGCCCUCUGGCGCUUGACUGACGCUGAGGCGCGAAGCGUGGGGAGCAACA
rnacentral:rRNA from 1 species